UACGGAGGGUGCAAGCGUUGUCCGGAUUUAUUGGGCGUAAAGAGCGUGUAGGCGGCCAGACAGGUCAGCUGUGAAAACUCGAGGCUCAACCUCGAGACGUCGGUUGAAACCGUCUGGCUAGAGUCCGGAAGAGGAGAGUGGAAUUCCCGGUGUAGCGGUGAAAUGCGCAGAUAUCGGGAAGAACACCCGUGGCGAAGGCGGCUCUCUGGGACGGUACUGACGCUGAGACGCGAAAGCGUGGGGAGCAAACAGG
rnacentral:rRNA from 1 species